CCUGUGGGCGGGGGCGCCGCCGUUGCCAUGGCGAGGAGGGAAAUAGCGGCCGCCAUUCUGCUCACCCCGCCCUCCCCCUGGGGCGGGCCAAGGCUUGAGGCUGCUGCUUGGCCCAGUGUGAAAGAAAACCAUAAUUGCUGGUAAUGAGAGCAACAGAACACUGCCUGAAGAGGGUUGCAUUUUCACAUUGACACACGCUCCUCUGACCAUCUCAGAAGGUUGCUGCAGAAGUAUUUGCCGUGCACAAACGCAGAUAACAGGUCACACUUCACAGCUGCCAUCGUUCAGGAGUGGGCCAAGGAAGAAGGACUCCAGUGGAUAUUUCACACACCAU